rnacentral:rRNA from 2 species
AGAGUUUGAUCAUGGCUCAGAUUGAACGCUGGCGGCAGGCCUAACACAUGCAAGUCGAACGGUAACAGGAAGCAGCUUGCUGCUUUGCUGACGAGUGGCGGACGGGUGAGUAAUGUCUGGGAAACUGCCUGAUGGAGGGGGAUAACUACUGGAAACGGUGGCUAAUACCGCAUAACGUCGCAAGACCAAAGAGGGGGACCUUCGGGCCUCUUGCCAUCAGAUGUGCCCAGAUGGGAUUAGCUUGUUGGUGAGGUAACGGCUCACCAAGGCGACGAUCCCUAGCUGGUCUGAGAGGAUGACCAGCCACACUGGAACUGAGACACGGUCCAGACUCCUACGGGAGGCAGCAGUGGGGAAUAUUGCACAAUGGGCGCAAGCCUGAUGCAGCCAUGCCGCGUGUAUGAAGAAGGCCUUCGGGUUGUAAAGUACUUUCAGCGGGGAGGAAGGUGUUGUGGUUAAUAACCACAGCAAUUGACGUUACCCGCAGAAGAAGCACCGGCUAACUCCGUGCCAGCAGCCGCGGUAAUACGGAGGGUGCAAGCGUUAAUCGGAAUUACUGGGCGUAAAGCGCACGCAGGCGGUCUGUCAAGUCGGAUGUGAAAUCCCCGGGCUCAACCUGGGAACUGCAUUCGAAACUGGCAGGCUUGAGUCUUGUAGAGGGGGGUAGAAUUCCAGGUGUAGCGGUGAAAUGCGUAGAGAUCUGGAGGAAUACCGGUGGCGAAGGCGGCCCCCUGGACAAAGACUGACGCUCAGGUGCGAAAGCGUGGGGAGCAAACAGGAUUAGAUACCCUGGUAGUCCACGCCGUAAACGAUGUCUACUUGGAGGUUGUGCCCUUGAGGCGUGGCUUCCGGAGCUAACGCGUUAAGUAGACCGCCUGGGGAGUACGGCCGCAAGGUUAAAACUCAAAUGAAUUGACGGGGGCCCGCACAAGCGGUGGAGCAUGUGGUUUAAUUCGAUGCAACGCGAAGAACCUUACCUGGUCUUGACAUCCACAGAACUUUCCAGAGAUGGAUUGGUGCCUUCGGGAACUGUGAGACAGGUGCUGCAUGGCUGUCGUCAGCUCGUGUUGUGAAAUGUUGGGUUAAGUCCCGCAACGAGCGCAACCCUUAUCCUUUGUUGCCAGCGGUUAGGCCGGGAACUCAAAGGAGACUGCCAGUGAUAAACUGGAGGAAGGUGGGGAUGACGUCAAGUCAUCAUGGCCCUUACGACCAGGGCUACACACGUGCUACAAUGGCGCAUACAAAGAGAAGCGACCUCGCGAGAGCAAGCGGACCUCAUAAAGUGCGUCGUAGUCCGGAUUGGAGUCUGCAACUCGACUCCAUGAAGUCGGAAUCGCUAGUAAUCGUGGAUCAGAAUGCCACGGUGAAUACGUUCCCGGGCCUUGUACACACCGCCCGUCACACCAUGGGAGUGGGUUGCAAAAGAAGUAGGUAGCUUAACCUUCGGGAGGGCGCUUACCACUUUGUGAUUCAUGACUGGGGUGAAGUCGUAACAAGGUAACCGUAGGGGAACCUGCGGUUGGAUCACCU